rnacentral:rRNA from 1 species
UACGUAGGGUGCGAGCGUUAAUCGGAAUUACUGGGCGUAAAGUGUGCGCAGGCAGGCCGAGCAAGUCGAGUGUGAAAGCCCCGGGCUUAACUUGGGAAUUGCGCUCGAAACUACUUGGCUAGAGUGUGGCAGAGGAAGGUGGAAUUCCACGUGUAGCGGUGAAAUGCGUAGAGAUGUGGAGGAACACCGAUGGCGAAGGCAGCCUUCUGGGCCAACACUGACGCUCAUGCACGAAAGCGUGGGGAGCAAACAGG